GACGAACGCUGGCGGCGUGCUUAACACAUGCAAGUCGAACGAGAAUCUACGGAUCGAGGAUUCGUCCAAGUGAAGUAGAGGACAGUGGAGGACGGGUGAGUAACGCGUGAGGAACCUGCCUUUCAGAGGGGGACAACAGUUGGAAACGACUGCUAAUACCGCAUGACACAUUGGGGUCGCAUGGCCCUGAUGUCAAAGAUUUAUCGCUGAAAGAUGGCCUCGCGUCUGAUUAGCUAGUUGGUGAGGUAAC
rnacentral:rRNA from 1 species